rnacentral:lncRNA from 1 species
UCUCCUCUCCCUUCCUCCCUUCUCAGCUGAGCCCCAGCUUCCCAGGCCAGCAGGACCUACCAGGGAAAUGGCAGUUGAGAAUCUGUUAGUUACCAAGAUGUUUCUCGAGGAUUGUCUUACAAAAUCAGAAGGUCUGGUUACCACUGGAACACAGUGCCCAGUGACAUAGCUGCUGGUGACCCCUGACCUUUCCAGCUUCUCCACUGCUGUCUGGUCUCCCUGGAAACAAACCUCUGGCAACAACUGCGAAGGAGUUUCUAGAUUCAAGUUCCAUGAAGACCCACCUGCCCCCAUUAAAUGUGGGUGGAUGGGUGGCAGCCUGGUAUGGGCUGAGGUUUAGUAUUGCAUAAAAAGAAGAGAGUGAGCUGAACACAGAAUUCUCCACCCUCUGCUUCCUGACUGCAGAUGCAAUGUGACCAGCUGGCUCACACACCCGCCACGUGCCUUUGCUUCCACAAUGGACCGGACUAUACCCUCAAACCAUGAGCACUAACAAGCUCUUCUUCCCUUA